rnacentral:tRNA from 1 species
GGAGAGAUAGCGUAGUUGGCCUAACGCGCGCGCCUGGAAAGCGCGUAUACUGAAAGGUAUCGUGGGUUCGAAUCCCACUCUCUCCG